CUAAAACCCAUAGUUAAAAUCAUUUGAGAUUUUAAUUUCAAUUACAAAUAGAUGGAUUAUGAAUCCAUUGUUGUUCUACUUUUGAACAAAAUGGUCCAACCAAACCCAAAGAAGAAAGCAGAGGCUUACUGGACAUCAAGACAUAAAAAGACAUUAAGACAAAGAACCUAAUUGUUUCUUCAGCUCGGUUCCCAAAUUGCACGAGACAAAGAUGAGAUUUUUACAGGUAAAAGAAACGUACAACCAAAACCCAAAAAGGAAAAAAACACAGAAAUACAUACUUUGUUUAUUUUUCUUGUCUCUGUCUGUGUCUAAGCACAGGCACAGGGGCUAUCCACAAGCGCGAAAUUCUCAUCUUCACUAAACAACAAAUACCCAAUACCCAGCCCCAUUACGAUCGCCACAAACACCCCUCCGUUAAACGACAUCACUGCAAGCAUCAACAAGUACCCGAUCGCCGAGUUCACCCCGAAAAGCACUGCUUGCGCUACCCUCGCCGCCGACAAUUUCCCUCUACCCGUCUUGGAUUGAAGCAAAGGCUCUUCUGCUGCUGAGCCGCCAGUGCCCACGACAAGUUUGAAGCGCAUGCGGACGCGGAGAUUCUCUAGGAAUUGGUACAAGGCGGAGGCAACUACACAAACGAGAAGAGUCAGAGCGUAACCCAGCCAUGUCGUGGUGCGCCACGAGUCCACCAGGAGAGUCACCUGGCGGCCCCAGUAAAAGGUCAUGUGCAUCAUCUUUGAUGACUCACUGAGUUGAAGAAUUAACAAGAAAAAAUGAACGAGUUUUUUAGAGAGAGAAAACUCAGCUGCCAAGUAAAGUAUCAAUGCAAUGACGGAGUUGAAAAGGCAUUGAAAUGUAAGGUUGUGUAGUACAGUGAACGGUGAUGUACGCUUGGUCGACUUGUACUGUAAGUCUGUAACGACUUUGAUAGUUUGAUUACAAU
rnacentral:misc_RNA from 1 species